GCGCGCCUAACACAUGCAAGUCGAACGGAGCUGAGAGGAGCUUGCUUUUCUUAGCUUAGUGGCGAACGGGUGAGUAACGCGUGAGUAACCUGCCCUGGAGUGGGGGACAACAGUUGGAAACGACUGCUAAUACCGCAUAAGCCCACGGUACCGCAUGGUACUGAGGGAAAAGGAUUUAUUCGCUCUAGGAUGGACUCGCGUCCAAUUAGCCAGUUGGUGAGGUAACGGCCCACCAAGGCGACGAUUGGUAGCCGGACUGAGAGGUUGAACGGCCACAUUGGGACUGAGACACGGCCCAGACUCCUACGGGAGGCAGCAGUGGGGGAUAUUGCACAAUGGGGGAAACCCUGAUGCAGCGACGCCGCGUGGAGGAAGAAGGUUUUCGGAUUGUAAACUCCUGUCGUUAGGGACGAUAAUGACGGUACCUAACAAGAAAGCACCGGCUAACUACGUGCCAGCAGCCGCGGUAAAACGUAGGGUGCAAGCGUUGUCCGGAAUUACUGGGUGUAAAGGGAGCGCAGGCGGACCGGCAAGUUGGAAGUGAAAUCCAUGGGCUCAACCCGUGAAUUGCUUUCAAAACUGCUGGCCUUGAGUAGUGCAGAGGUAGGUGGAAUUCCCGGUGUAGCGGUGGAAUGCGUAGAUAUCGGGAGGAACACCAGUGGCGAAGGCGACCUACUGGGCACCAACUGACGCUGAGGCUCGAAAGCAUGGGUAGCAAACAGGAUUAGAUACCCUGGUAGUCCAUGCCGUAAACGAUGAUUACUAGGUGUUGGAGGAUUGACCCCUUCAGUGCCGCAGUUAACACAAUAAGUAAUCCACCUGGGGAGUACGACCGCAAGGUUGAAACUCAAAUGAAUUGACGGAAGGG
rnacentral:rRNA from 1 species